GACGAACGUUGGCGGCGUGCCUAAUACAUGCAAGUCGAGCGCAGGAAGUCAUCCGAACCCUUCGGGGGGACGUUGACGGAAUGAGCGGCGGACGGGUGAGUAACACGUAAAGAACCUGCCCUCAGGUCUGGGAUAACCACGAGAAAUCGGGGCUAAUACCGGAUGGGUCAUCGGACCGCAUGGUCCGAGGAUGAAAGGCGCUUCGGCGUCGCCUGGGGAUGGCUUUGCGGUGCAUUAGCUAGUUGGUGGGGUAACGGCCCACCAAGGCGACGAUGCAUAGCCGACCUGAGAGGGUGAUCGGCCACACUGGGACUGAGACACGGCCCAGACUCCUACGGGAGGCAGCAGUAGGGAAUCUUCCACAAUGGACGAAAGUCUGAUGGAGCAACGCCGCGUGAACGAUGAAGGCCCUCGGGUCGUAAAGUUCUGUUGUAAGGGAAGAACAAGUGCCGCAGGCAAUGGCGGCACCUGGACGUACCUGCGAGAAAGCCACG
rnacentral:rRNA from 1 species